CUAAUACCGAUAACAGCAUUAACUGCAUGGUUGAUGUUUAAAAGUUAGGUUUUUGCUAACACUAUGAGAUGGCUUUGCGGUGCAUUAGCUAGUUGGUGGGGUAAAGGGCCUACCAAGGCGACGAUGCAUAGCCGACCUGAGAGGGUGAUCGGCCACACUGGGACUGAGACACGGCCCAGACUCCUACGGGAGGCAGCAGGGG
rnacentral:rRNA from 1 species